UGCCACUUCCCGGAGCUCGGGGCGCCGCGGACCACGGACGACUACGUGUUCCUGGUAGACGGGACCAGUCGCACAGACGCCGUGGCCUUCGUGGACUUUGCUCCCCUUUCCGCCGUGAUGCUCGAAAAGUACAAUCCUCCUGAAAACCUGACGGUCGCCGACGAAGAUUCGGGGCCCGUCAUCCGGUGGGAAAACCCGGAGAGGCGAUUCAACUUAGCACCGAGCACCUUCUGGUACCAACUUCACAUCCAAAGCCAGGGAAGCUCCCAGGAGAGAGAAGC